GUCUACGGCCAUAUCACCUUGAACGCGCACGAACUCCUCUGAUUUCGGAAGCUAAGCAGAGUCGGAUGGGAGACCCACUGGGAAUACCGGGCGCUGUAGGUA
ensembl:rRNA 5S_rRNA 5S ribosomal RNA